GUCGAGCGGACAGAAGGGAGCUUGCUCCCGGAUGUUAGCGGCGGACGGGUGAGUAACACGUGGGUAACCUGCCUGUAAGACUGGGAUAACUCCGGGAAACCGGAGCUAAUACCGGAUAGUUCCUUGAACCGCAUGGUUCAAGGAUGAAAGACGGUUUCGGCUGUCACUUACAGAUGGACCCGCGGCGCAUUAGCUAGUUGGUGGGGUAAUGGCUCACCAAGGCGACGAUGCGUAGCCGACCUGAGAGGGUGAUCGGCCACACUGGGACUGAGACACGGCCCAGACUCCUACGGGAGGCAGCAGUAGGGAAUCUUCCGCAAUGGACGAAAGUCUGACGGAGCAACGCCGCGUGAGUGAUGAAGGUUUUCGGAUCGUAAAGCUCUGUUGUUAGGGAAGAACAAGUGCGAGAGUAACUGCUCGCACCUUGACGGUACCUAACCAGAAAGCCACGGCUAACUACGUGCCAGCAGCCGCGGUAAUACGUAGGUGGCAAGCGUUGUCCGGAAUUAUUGGGCGUAAAGGGCUCGCAGGCGGUUUCUUAAGUCUGAUGUGAAAGCCCCCGGCUCAACCGGGGAGGGUCAUUGGAAACUGGGAAACUUGAGUGCAGAAGAGGAGAGUGGAAUUCCACGUGUAGCGGUGAAAUGCGUAGAGAUGUGGAGGAACACCAGUGGCGAAGGCGACUCUCUGGUCUGUAACUGACGCUGAGGAGCGAAAGCGUGGGGAGCGAACAGGAUUAGAUACCCUGGUAGUCCACGCCGUAAACGAUGAGUGCUAAGUGUUACGGGGUUUCCGCCCCUUAGUGCUGCAGCUAACGCAUUAAGCACUCCGCCUGGGGAGUACGGUCGCAAGACUGAAACUCAAAGGAAUUGACGGGGGCCCGCACAAGCGGU
rnacentral:rRNA from 1 species